AAAGACUCAAUUCCUCGGUUUUCGUGUCCUAUGUUUGACUGUCCGUCUUAUAUGAAUUUUUUUCAUGAUUAGUAUUUUCAUUGUUGUUAGAUGAUAAAACAUGAAUAAUACUUUAUGUGUGAUUUAUCUUUUUAAUUUUUUUUAAGUAAGACGGACGGUCAAACGUUAGACACGGAAACUCAAGAAUUGAGUUAUU
rfam:Oryza rufipogon genomic scaffold, chr03